rnacentral:rRNA from 1 species
AAUCAACGCUGGCGGCGUGCCUCAGACAUGCAAGUCGAACGAUUAAAGCUCUCUUCGGAGAGUGCAUAGAGUGGCGCACGGGUGAGUAACACGUAAGUAAUCUACCCUCGAGUGGGGAAUAACGUCCGGAAACGGACGCUAAUACCGCAUAAUGCAGCGGCACCGCAAGGUGACAGUUGUUAAAGAUUUAUCGCUUGAGGAGGAGCUUGCGGCAGAUUAGCUAGUUGGUAAGGUAAUGGCUUACCAAGGCUACGAUCUGUAACCGGUCUCAGAGGACGGUCGGUCACACUGAAACUGAAUAACGGGUCAGACUCCUACGGGAGGCAGCAGUCGGGAAUUUUGGGCAAUGGGCGAAAGCCUGACCCAGCAACGCCGCGUGAAGGAUGAAGUAUUUCGGUAUGUAAACUUCGAAAGAAUAGGAAGAAUUAAUGACGGUACUAUUUAUAAGGUCCGGCUAACUACGUGCCAGCAGCCGCAGUAACAC